rnacentral:misc_RNA from 1 species
AACUUUUGGCAAUGGAUUACUUGGCUCUCCCAUCGAUGAAGAACGCAGCGAACUGCGAUACGUAAUGUGAAUUGCAGAAUUCAGUGAAUCAUCGAAUCUUUGAACGCACCUUGCGCCGCUCGGUUUUCCGAGGGGCACGUCUGUUUGAGUGUCACGUUAAUCUAUCACUUCGCACAUUUUAUUAUGUGUUGAACGUGGAUUUGGACUGUGCUGUUGCUUCGUUCAACGGCUCGUCUCGAAAUGCAUGGUUGCCUGCGGAGUCUUGCGCUGCAUGAGACUGGCGAAACGGUGUGAUAUUUUAUCUACGCUGGACUAGUCGGUUUUGACGCUGGCUGCACUAGGAGCGCUCCGGGCUCAUAAUGAAGAAGGACGAUUCGGUUCGUCCUCCAUUUUUUACCUUUGCGUUUGACCUCAAAUCAGAUGGGACUACCCGCUGAACUUAAGCAUAUCAAUAAGCGGAGGCU